UUCAGCAGGGAAGAAGCGAAAGUGACGGUACCUGCAGAAGAAGCGCCGGCUAACUACGUGCCAGCAGCCGCGGUAAUACGUAGGGCGCAAGCGUUGUCCGGAAUUAUUGGGCGUAAAGAGCUCGUAGGCGGCUCGUCACGUCGGUUGUGAAAGCCCGGGGCUUAACCCCGGGUCUGCAGUCGAUACGGGCAGGCUAGAGUUCGGUAGGGGAGAUCGGAAUUCCUGGUGUAGCGGUGAAAUGCGCAGAUAUCAGGAGGAACACCGGUGGCGAAGGCGGAUCUCUGGGCCGAUACUGACGCUGAGGAGCGAAAGCGUGGGGAGCGAACAGGAUUAGAUACCCUGGUAGUCCACGCCGUAAACGGUGGGCACUAGGUGUGGGCAACAUUCCACGUUGUCCGUGCCGCAGCUAACGCAUUAAGUGCCCCGCCUGGGGAGUACGGCCGCAAGGCUAAAACUCAAAGGAAUUGACGGGGGCCCGCACAAGCGGCGGAGCAUGUGGCUUAAUUCGACGCAACGCGAAGAACCUUACCAAGGCUUGACAUACACCGGAAACGGCCAGAGAUGGUCGCCCCCUUGUGGUCGGUGUACAGGUGGUGCAUGGCUGUCGUCAGCUCGUGUCG
rnacentral:rRNA from 1 species